GACGAACGCUGGCGGCGUGCUUAACACAUGCAAGUCGAACGAUGAAGCUGGAGCUUGCUCUGGUGGAUUAGUGGCGAACGGGUGAGUAACACGUGAGUAGCCUGCCCUGGACUCUGGGAUAAGCGUUGGAAACGACGUCUAAUACCGGAUAGGACCUCGGAUCGCAUGAUCUGGGGUGGAAAGUCUUUCGGUCUGGGAUGGACUCGCGGCCUAUCAGCUUGUUGGUGAGGUAAUGGCUCACCAAGGCGUCGACGGGUAGCCGGCCUGAGAGGGGGACCGGCCACACUGGGACUGAGACACGGCCCAGACUCCUACGGGAGGCAGCAGUGGGGAAUAUUGCACAAUGGGCGCAAGCCUGAUGCAGCAACGCCGCGUGCGGGAUGACGGCCUUCGGGUUGUAAACCGCUUUUAGUAAGGAAGAAGGGGCUUCGGCCUUGACGGUACUUGCAGAAAAAGGACCGGCUAACUACGUGCCAGCAGCCGCAGUAAGAC
rnacentral:rRNA from 1 species